rnacentral:tRNA from 1 species
GACUGAUAAAUUGAGCCUUGGUAUGGAAACCUGCUAAGUGAUAACUUCCAAAUUCAGAGAAACCCCGGAAUUAAAGGUUCAAGUCCCUCUAUCCCCAAUAAAAGCCCAUUUUAAGUCAUAACUUAACUAUACUUCCUAACUACUUUUUAUCUUCUUUUUUGUUUUUUA